AACGAACCGUGCGAAAGUUAUUCGGAAUCACUGGGCUUAAAGCGCGUGUAGGCGGGACGGCACGUCGGUUGCUGAAAUCCCCCGGCUCAACCGGGGAACGGGCAGCGAUACGACCGUCCUGGAGGGGGGUAGGGGGAGCUGGAACUUCCGGUGGAGCGGUGAAAUGCGUUGAGAUCGGAAGGAACGCCCGUGGCGAAAGCGAGCUCCUGGACCCUUACUGACGCUGAGACGCGAAAGCCAGGGGAGCGAACGG
rnacentral:rRNA from 1 species